GACGUAGGGUGCAAGCGUUGUCCGGAUUUACUGGGCGUAAAGAGCGCGUAGGCGGCUCGUUAAGUGUGAAGUGAAAUCUCUAGGGCUCAACCCAGAAACUGCUUUACAUACUGGCGAGCUGGAGUGAUGCAGAGGUUUGUGGAAUUCCUGGUGUAGCGGUGAAAUGCGUUGAUAUCAGGAGGAACACCGAUGGCGAAGGCAAUCCCCUGGGCCUGCACUGACGCUCAUGCACGAAAGCGUGGGGAGCAAACAGG
rnacentral:rRNA from 1 species